AUAUAUCUGCGGUGUUCGUUAACCCAAAUAAUUCAACCGACGUAGAGUAUAAGGGAGUUCGGGUUCAGCAGUGUAGAGCAGGCCUUAAUUGGAAGCUUGAAGCUGUUGACAGAGCACCCACCUUGUGAGAGGCGGGUGUGAAUUAGUUGGGAGACGGCACUGUGGUAAUAAA
rnacentral:other from 1 species